rnacentral:rRNA from 1 species
UACGUAGGGGGCGAGCGUUGUCCGAAGUUACUGGGCGUAAAGCGCACGUAGGCGGAUUUGUAAGUCAGGGGUGAAAUCCCUGGGCUCAACCCAGGAAGUGCACUCGAAACUGGCAGGCUUGAGUACUGAAGAGGGUCGCGGAAUUCCCGGUGUAGAGGUGAAAUUCGUAGAUAUCGGGAGGAACACCAGUGGCGAAGGCGGCGACCUGGGCAGAUACUGACACUGAGGUGCAAAAGCGUGGGGAGCAAACAGG